rnacentral:rRNA from 1 species
UACGGAAUGUGCAAACGUUAUUCGGAAUCACUGGGCUUAAAGAGUUCGUAGGCGGCGCAGAAAGUGGGGUGUGAAAGCCCUCGGCUCAACCGAGGAAUUGCGCUCCAAACUACUGUGCUUGAGGAAGCUAGAGGUGAGCAGAACUGAUGGUGGAGCGGUGAAAUGCGUUGAUAUCAUCAGGAAUACCGGAGGCGAAGGCGGCUCACUGGGGCUUUUCUGACGCUGAGGAACGAAAGCCAGGGUAGCGAACGGG